AAUGCUUGAGCCACCCUGCCAUUUACAAGACUUGACCUUUAAGCAGUGAGCCCGGAGUCUAAACCUGCUCACAUUCCUCAUGACUCCUUUGUCUAGAUCCCUAAAUAAGUAAGAUGGAAUACAAAAAGGAGUGCGUGCUGUUUGAUUCAAAGGCACCCCACACCAAUGAUGGUAAGUCACUGCUGUCUUGUUCACCGCCCG
rnacentral:lncRNA from 1 species